AAUCUAUUGAGAUAUUAUUGUAAUUUAUCCUUUAUAAAAACAUUUUCAUGCAGAUCAUAUUAGUUAGGACAAAACAAGACACAGCAACAAAAGAUCAAGUGGAUCAGGAUCACCCUUUAGAGGGUUGUGGGCACAGCACAAUAAUAAGCUCCUAAAGUACUUUCAUCUGCAAUUGAAUUGCAUAUAUGAAUUAGAGUUCUCAAAAGGCUGCAUGUUUCCUUCACUUUCUUGCAUAGAGAUGUUACUUGCAUGGAGGAAUUCAAUCAUCUCAGAGCUUGUGUCCCACAAUUCUUUUCAGCUUCAAGCAAAAGCUCACAAGGCUAUAAACUUUGCCACAAACAUACAUCUUGCAGGAAAGUUUAAUCGCUUUUCAUCUAAGAGCAAAACUCUUGGAAGAAUGUUAAACAAAGAUUUUAAUCAUAGAAAUUCUUAGCAGAUUCCAUAUCUAAAUGAUACAGAGACCUCCAAAAAUGCCAGAGGCAAUAUAAUUCCUACAGGCCUACUGCAUUUCUCAAAU
rnacentral:misc_RNA from 1 species